UACAGAGGGGGCAAGCGUUGUUCGGAAUUACUGGGCGUAAAGGGCGCGUAGGCGGCCCGCUAAGUCGAACGUGAAAUCCCCAGGCCCAACCUGGGAACUGCGUCCGAUACUGGCAGGCUUGAAUCCGGGAGAGGGAUGUGGAAUUCCAGGUGUAGCGGUGAAAUGCGCAGAUAUCGGGAGGAACGCCAGUAGCGAAGGCGGCUCGCUGGGCCACACCUGACGCUGAGACGCGAAAGCUAGGGGAGCGAACAGG
rnacentral:rRNA from 1 species